AGAAAAGUGACUGAGGAAAAAAGAGACGUGGUGUUGGGAAUAAAAAAUUGAUUUUUGUGUUUACAAAUUUGAUUGUUACUUGGACCUUUUUUUCUUUUGUUUAAUAGUUGUUACUUUUGUUUUCUACAAGUUUCAGCUUUAAAGCGGCUGCGAAGAAAGUGGUGGAACUUAUUUCUAAAGCACUUGCUUACAUACUGAGGUAUUUAGACUAGAACCAAAAGUGAGAGGGUUAGAAGCUGCUGAUAAGAAAACUGAAAGCCCGGUAAAGGAAGAGCUUUCUGCAGUAAAGAAGGCAGACAGAUUGAGAGAGCUUACUAAUCUUUAUGGAAAAAGGAAGGCAAGAAAUGAGGUGCAAACAGCUUACAAACAAGCCGUGUAAAAAUUUCAUUCAGACCGGGCAUCAAAAACUAACAUUCGCUAGCAGGUUGAAGCUAAAGAAUAAUUUACGCUUAUUUCCUGUACAAAGAGAAAUUUUUACCAUUUUUGAGUCACUAAAUGCAUGUUGAUGGAAUGGUUUUUAUUUUGUUUAGGAGUUCUGAAUUUUCUUUGGAUAUUUAGUUGUCUUUUGUUGUUAAAGUGCAUGAUUUUCUGUCAAGGACGGACCUAGUAGAGGGCCCGAGCCCCCCGGCCCAAAUCUUUUU